UUGCCGCAGGCCCCAGGACACCAACACCCUGCCCUGCUCCCUUCCGAGGCAGCUGCAGUCAAAGGGCCAUUGUUCCCAGACGGGCGGGAACAAGGCCUCUUGUUGGUCGGCUGAAUAAGGUCCCUGGCUCCGUCCAACCUCAGCCACAAUCAAUCUCUCUUACGGUGCAGGGUGGGCAGGGACAGGUUUCCAAAGUCAUCUUCAUGCUCAGGUGAGAACGGAAAGGUCAGCCAAUGAGCCACCGUACACAGAUCCUGUUGAAAACUGACUAGUGCCCUAUCAACUGGGCUGUGCUUCUCAAACUUCUAGAACUUCUUUAUUUUUCUUCAAUUUUCUUUUGGUGUUUAUUUAUUUUUGAGAGAGAAAUAGAGUGUGAGCAGGGGAGGGACAGAGAGAGGGAGACACAGAAUCUGAAGCAGGCUCCAGACUCCGAGCUGUCAGCACAGAGCCGGCUGUGGGGCUCGAACUCACAGAUGGUGAGAUCAUGACCUGGGCCGAAGUUGGACACUUAAACUGAAUGAGCCACCCAGAUGCCCCUAGAACUUCUUCAAACCGCAAACAGCCUGGUUAAAAUGCAGAUUUCCAGGCCUGACAGUCUGGUUCAUAAGUUGUGGGAGCAGGGAGCGGCCAGGCGGUCCUGAAACAGGUGACCCAGGAGGACGGCGAGCAGGAGGGCAGAAGUGGGUGGGCCUGGGGCACUCUCUGGAGGCGCAGUCGACAGCAGCUUGGUCCCGGAAGGAAUACGGGGUGAGCCCAAAAAGGGAAAGACCCAGACGGCACCCUGGCCGACCUGCUGGGGGCACAGUCGCGCGGUGGCUCCACGAGGCAGUGGACCGACCCGAGGCAGAGACCGCAGAGAAGGGGUGAUGUGAGAAUCCAGGGGUGCAGGGACAUGAUCGUGUAAAUCGGAUUUCCUCAAUCACAGCAUUUACUGCAGUGUUUUACCUCUCCUAACAAUUUAUUUCAAGCAACGAGAAAACCCCUGCCAUUAGAAAUAUUUCCUAAAGAUUCUGCCCUUUCCCACCUGGUGACGUGUGGCACACAGACAGGAUUUCGUCAGUCUCUGGAGAUUUAAUACACACGCACCUCCGCGUCACCAGUGAGAGCUCUGCCUGCCCAGUGGCCUUGAACCUUGCCGGGCCCUUGACCACGUGACCACAAGCACCUAGCUCGGCUCUGCUCUGUCAUCCGUCACACCGGAAGUGUGCAGAGCUGUUGUGAGCUGCCCUCCCCUGCCCUCCCUGGGGACAAGACCAGGAGAGGGGUCAAGACCUUGCAACUGAAUAAGGGCUGAGCCGCCCACUCUGGGCCGUUUUGGGAGAAAAAGGCUCGUCUCAAAUUCACUCAAGAGACCAGGUACAGCCUCUGAAAGCCAUAACUGGAACCAAACUGUAGGACUUACCCACCUAGAGAAAGGACUUUUAUUCUUAGAGCUGACGUCUUCUUUUCCGAUGAAAUACAAAUCUCCUAGGAAGGAGACACUAAAACUGGCAGUUCUUCACCUUAAUGACGGUUUCUAGAAAGUUUUUCCCCGCCCACAGGGUUUAACAGCGAAAACUCAAGGUGCCAGCAUCCAAUGGUGGAAGAGGCUUCGGGUCACACACCUUUACCUGCAAAUCCUCCCGCGGCCACCACCUCCACCAUCAGACUCUCAAGGCACAGCUGGGACGUUUCAGCAGCCAAGUCAGAGCCUUCCAGAAAGAGAACGGCAGUCAGCCACACCCGCCGACUUCCGCUCUUCCCUCUUCAAAGACUCGCAGGGCACACGGGAGAGGUGUGUAAACAGCCUCUUCCAGGCUCUGUGUGUCUACAAAUGGCCGGAAGCAUGUUCAUUAUUCUCCUUAAGAUGCCUUUUAAAAAUUCACAAAGACCUGACGCACGCGUGUGUUUACAAGCGACCUUUCUGAAGGGCUGCUGCUGGUGUAUUCUUAGACAUCUGUUUCCUAACGGGUUAUGGGACACCCGAGAGACUGAGAUAAAAAAGGAAAACUGAACUUUCUGACAUCGCCACUCUGGGCUGGGAGCAGAAAACAUGCCUACGUGCCCACAAAACAUAAAAGGUCAAGAGAGCGAGAAUUUAUGAGUGACGUGAGUCAGAGUGCCAAAAAGGAAAGUUUACAAGAAAAAAGAUAUGUACAGAAUAUAUAAAACAUACGAGACCGUAUACAGUUGGCCGCUGAACGUGGCUUUGAACCACGCAUGUCCACUUAUACGUGGAUGAUUCUCAGUAAGUACAGGACGGUACCAAAAAUGCAUUUUCUCUCCCUUAUGAUUUCUUUUCUCUAGCUCACUGUAUUGUAUGAAUACAAAAUACAUGGCAUAUACAAAAUAUGUGUCAAUCAACUGUUUAUGUUACUCGUAAGUCUUCUGGUCAACACUCAGCUGGCAGGAGUUAAGUUCAGGGGAGUCAAAAGUCAUAUGCAGAUUUUCAACCAUGUAAGGAGUCGGGGCCCCUUAUGGUGUUCAAGGGUCAACGUGUUUUAUAUUUACAUAAAAUAGGGAUUAUAAUGUACUAUAUGUAAUGUGUUACAUAUGUGACGUAUUAACGUGUAAUUAUGUAUAACAUAUAUAAAAUUAUAUUACAUACAUGUUACACAUAUUGCACAAAAUAUAAAAAGCCAUACAUUAUCUAUAACUUACAAGUUCAAUAGAUCACAAUGAUAUGUAUUAUUCAGGAAGUCCCAAUUUUUGCUUGUUAGUUGGGUUUUUUUUUUUUUCCCCAGCAACCAUUCACACAGGCGCUUUGGUAAUUAUAACGUACUGCCAGGUGCAGACACACGGCGGGGGUGGGGGUGAGGGGGGAGAGGGGUUCUCUACUCAACCGGCUUUCACUGUGUUUAGCACGCAAGCCUGCCUGCUUUCCAGAGCAGAGCCAUGCCCUCACUCUGGAGACCCCGCCCCGCCCCCCUCACACCCCCGACGUCUAUGGGCUGACUCCCAAGCCAGUUCUGACAAGAGACAUCAGGCACCCACCUCUGAUGGAGCACAGCCCAGGCAGGACGGGGAGUAGAACCAACAGCCCAACUGUUCUGGACACCCCAGCAAGACGCUGCACAGAGCCGUGAACAUUUCUAGACAAACUCAGAUGUUCCCAUCGCAGUGUGCUCAUCGAGAAAACAAAGGAGUCGGCAGCAGGGCCAGAAAACCGCUUAGCAAGAGUGAGAGUGAAUGAGGAGGGGCAGAAAGAGAGAAAGAGAGAGAGAGCGAGAGAGAGAGGGUCCCAAGCCGGCUCCACGCUGUCAACACAGAGCCCAAAGUGGGGCUCGAUCCCACGAACCACAAGAUCAUGACCUGAGUGGAAACCAAGAGUCGGAGGCUUAAGAGACCGAGCCACCCAGACCAGACGCCCCCACGAGGGAGGCAGCCGAAGGCCAGGCCGACAGCGUCACAAACCCGGGGAGCCGGGCCCCACGCAGGACGUGUCUGCGCACAGGUGUCUCACCGCCGUAUCCACCGCGACCCCGUCUCGCUUCGGGGAAGGAGAGCCGGCCCGCGAGCCCUCUUCACUGCACUUGCGCAUGCUUCCGUCUGCCAGACAGAUUUUCGGCGGCGACUAACCUGACUUUUUGCUCACGUUCAGUUGCUUCCUUCAUGGAAAAGCUAAAUCAAAAGCAUUUGCUGAAAAGCUCAGACAGACAACGUAUCAGGUCUGACUAAUACGAAGGUCCGGACAAGUGAAGGUGAAAUACAUCCUCCAUGCGACAAUAAACUACAACGCCACCUUGCAGUGUCAGAGCACCAAGUCUUCCGAAACGGUGGAGUGAGCGCGGAAAACAGGCAGCGUAAACGGGGUCCAUCCAGGCUGGCGCUGGACCACCUUCCAGACACACCCUGAACCCCAGGGAUCGGGACACCUUCAUCCUUCCCGAAAAGAAAUACAAAACGCUUGCCGUUUACUGCCAUUCGCAUGUGCAUUCUGUUGAAACUACCUACGUCUCCAACUCAAGCCUGCAGGUGAUCCCUGUUCGGCAACAGGCCUGCCCGAGGCUCCCGGGUGGCAGGAGCGUGCACGUGGUCACACGGAGGAGGGCGUUCCGGUUGAGCGAGUGAAUUCACUCUCACAGAAGGCGGAUGUGUAAACGAGGCACACGACACCCGUUCACGGUUUCUAGGGAACCACAUGCACGAAUCACAACAUCGGAGGCCGGCUGGAUAAAUGACAACACAGGACUCUACGUAGCAGACUCGGUGUUUGUGUCCAAAAUAGUUUCGGGAGGAGGAAGAGUGGGUUUAAAAGUUCAGGUCACACCACCGGUUUGGGGACUUCGUUUUCCUUAUCACAUUUCUCUCCCUCGGUGUAAGCGAACGAAAUUUCAAGUUCAAAAUGCCAGGCCCCAGGGAAAAAGCAAGAGCGUCCUCCCAGGAUCGUUCUCGGCACACAAGCGUGCUCAGCGAGCGCCUCCUCUCUGCCAUGAAGCAUCUCAGGGGCCCCACGACUUUUAAAAAUACAACUGCCACCGAAGGGCGUCCAAGCAGGCAGCUCAACAGGAAGUAAUUCUGAGAUGACUGGACUGAAUUAAACACUCAUGGUCCAUCCACCUGCACCGUGUGAUAGCCCACGGUGGGCGGAGCGCCAAUUCAACUCUGACUCUUCCCCGAGACAAGGACACCACCCGCGGUAGUAAUUACAGGGCAGCACAGGUGUUUUAAGACAACCUUUCUUUGUUUUAUUAAGUUCACUGCUUGUAAGCAAACAAAUUGCUUAGUCACCGAUUCCUCCGGUUUCCCGCCCCCCAUUAUGAAGAAACUAGUACACGCAGAAAUCUCUGGCAAGCUACGACGGUCCCCGCGGGUCCUGCCUUGCCCCGCUAUUCCUGCAGGCACCCGCUUCUAGCACUUUCCCAAAUGCCGUUCCUCUGUCUGAUCUGUGUGUGGCCUCCACGCUAAUUAUCCCAAAGCACCACUUUUAUUGGCUUUUUUUACACUGCCCUCCUGCCAAAGCUGGCCCGGUUUUCAACACCAGCACAUCUGGCCCCAACCCAAUUUCCUAAUACCCUUCCUUUCCAACCCUGCACUCUGGCCACACUCUGCUACUGCCCCCCCCAGCCCCAGGCACGCCGCCACUGUCCCACCCUGAAAGGAGCACCUAAGAGACCCUAAGACUGUGCGCCUGGCACAGACCUUUGACCUCUGCCCAACCCCUACACAGACACCCAGCUGUCAGGUCCUGCCCCUCCCCCGUCUCUAUCCAAGUAAUGAGAGUUCGGAAGACAGAGACGUAGACAGCCCUGUAAGCCAGAAAUUUCAAAAUAAACUCUGGCCGUGGCUCCUUCGGCCACUGGCUGAUUCCGGGGCUGGACCAGGAAACACGCAAGAGGAGUCCGAAGCAUCUCGUGCGGCCAGAAAGAGCCCUGAAGUGCACGUGUGUGCACACCCACACGCCAAUGGGAGCCACCCGACAGAGCUGCCGAUGCCAGAGCUGGGACAACGUGAGAAACAGAAUACAUACUACGGUCCUGGAUUAUAACCCGAAGCGUAACUCAAACGGCCACGGAUCCGUGCUGAGGUAACUGACGGACUGAAUGAAUGAAGAGGGAGGGUAUACAGACCUGUGCAGAAGAAUUCAAAAUAAUUCACGUAGACCCUCUGCCCUCAGGGAGGGGCAACAAAACUCCCUACCCCUCGCGGUGACUUCCUUCCACAGUGCAGCACGCGGCAAGGGAAAAAGAAGUAAUUUUACGGUGGAGAAACCUAACAGCCACGGUCUCAGCCAGGCGGGCAAUGUCGGUAUCGACCCCGAGGGUCACAUACUGGACACGACGAACAGGGCGUUUCAUUUCUGCGGUCCCCGUCAUCCUCACAGGAACCCAAAACCCCAAUCCAACAGGGGGGAGUCAUCAGACGAAUCCCGGUUGAGAGACAGUCUACAAAACACCUGACCAGCUCUCCUCGAAAGUAUCAAGGUCAUCAAACACAAAUGAUGUCCGAGAAGCGACCACGCGCCAACGGCCUUGGAGCCCGAGGAGACCUAUGGGACGACCAAAUGCAGCGUGGCCUCCUGAACGCGCUGCUGGGACAAAAGAGGGACGUGAGGCGAGCGCUGCGGAAAUGUGAAUGAAAUACGGCUGUAGUAACUGAUCAUGUGUCGAUACUGGGUCACUGGUUACGUGUGGAAGCUGGACGCGGGGAAAGCGAGAGCUCCCUGGGCGAUCUUCCCAAACUCCGUCUGAAUCUAAAACUAUUCUAAAAUUAAGUUUAUUUUAAAAGAUUACCCCGGGCUCCCUCAGCUCCCUACCCCCCCACCCCACCCCAGGCUGCAGUCCGGAACAUCUUCUGUUCCCUCCACUCUUGUAUCCUGGGCCUCUGCCCUCCCUAGUCGUUGUAGUCCCCGCUCCAUCCGCCACACAGGUGCCAGGGGAAGCUUUCGAACACACGCAUCUGAAGAGAACACCUUCCCGAUCAAAGCCCUUCAAGCAGCCAUCUUCAUUCCGGAAUUUCCAGGCCUUCAUCGCACACUACGAAUCUCCUUAAGAGGGACAUUUAACACAAUAACUCUCAAAUCUGUUUGGCUGUGGAAUUUUUCCACACUUUCAGCGUCUGGGUCCUGCGGAACAAUUAGGAAAUUGUUGAAAUCAAGCACAUUCCUACAAGGUGGACUGAAAGUUCUAAUUCCUUCUCUCGGUCACUGUGGUGGGUUGAACA